UACGAAGGGGGCUAGCGUUGUUCGGAAUUACUGGGCGUAAAGCGCGCGCAGGCGGUCUUCCAAGUCAGUGGUGAAAGCCUGGAGCUCAACUCCAGAACUGCCAUUGAAACUGUUAGACUUGAGUACGAGAGAGGUGAGUGGAAUUCCCAGUGUAGAGGUGAAAUUCGUAGAUAUUGGGAAGAACACCGGUGGCGAAGGCGGCUCACUGGCUCGUAACUGACGCUCAGGCGCGACAGCGUGGGGAUCAAACAGGAUUAGAUACCCCCGUAGUCC
rnacentral:rRNA from 1 species